rnacentral:rRNA from 1 species
UGAGGAAUAUUGGUCAAUGGGCGUGAGCCUGAACCAGCCAAGCCGCGUGAGGGAAGAAGGCGCCAGGCGUCGUAAACCUCUUUUGCCGGGAACAAAGGGCGCCACGUGUGGCGUUGUGAGUGUACCCGGAGAAAAAGCAUCGGCUAACUCCGUGCCAGCAGCCGCGGUAAUACGGAGGAUGCGAGCGUUAUCCGGAUUUAUUGGGUUUAAAGGGUGCGUAGGCGGACCGGAAAGUCAGCGGUAAAAGCCCGGGCUG